rnacentral:snRNA from 1 species
CCCAUGAGCCAAAGAACCAAAUAG